GGAAGCGUGGCCGAGCGGUUUAAGGCAGCAGUCUUGAAAACUGCCGUAGGGGUGACUCUACCGUGAGUUCGAAUCUCACCGCUUCCG
rnacentral:tRNA from 1 species